rnacentral:rRNA from 1 species
UACGGGGGGGGCAAGCGUUGUUCGGAAUUACUGGGCGUAAAGGGCUCGUAGGCGGCCAACUAAGUCAGACGUGAAAUCCCUCGGCUUAACCGGGGAACUGCGUCUGAUACUGGAUGGCUUGAGUUCGGGAGAGGGAUGCGGAAUUCCAGGUGUAGCGGUGAAAUGCGCAGAUAUCAGGAGGAACACCGAUGGCGAAGGCAGCUCGCUGGGACGGUACUGACGCUGAGGCGCGAAAGCGUGGGGAGCGAACAGG